rnacentral:hammerhead_ribozyme from 1 species
AUCCGGUUGACAAGACCCAAAUAGGACGAAACGUGCGUCCUGGAU